AUGUGGUCUCAGCGGCCACUCCCAGACACCAUGCUGGGAAUGUAAAGAAAUGGAAAGUACAUUUUACCAUAUGUGAUAGACUUGUAGAGUAGCUAAGGAAUUUUGGGAGAUGAUACAUAAUGAGUUGGGGAGGGGGAUAUUUAAGACGACAAUCCCAAAGAGACCUGAAAGCUUUUCUUUUAGGGAUAACUGGGUCAGACGUACCAAAGAAUCAAAUGAACUUAUUUCUGUAUGCAACUGCUGCAGCGCAAGUAUUAGGUAAAAGUAAAGGGUAAGGGGACCCCUGACCGUUAGGUCCAGUCGCAGAUGACUCUGGGGUUGCGGCGCUCAUCUCGCUUUACUGGCUGAGGGAGCCGGCGUACAGCUUCCAGUUCCUGUGGCCAGCAUGACUACCAGAGCAAAUUUCCUCUGACCAUGGAGCAUCAUGGCUGGGAAUCAACUAGGAAUCAACCCUGCCUGAGCAGGGCAAGAAAAUCCAGUGAGUUGAGGGCCACACAGGUGAUUUUUUUCUUGGGCAGACGAAAGUCUGCAAAGGAAAGGGUUAAACCACUCCUUGACCUCACUGGGUUCCUCCUGAGAUCACAC